GUUUCCUGAGUUUCUGGGAAGGCCUGGUUUCCCCAAAGGAACGAUUUCUGGUAGAAGUCUGAAGGUCUGACCCAAGAAAAAUAAUCCAGUAUAGCCAAUGAAUUGAGGACAAGAAGUUUUCCAAUCAGCUGACAAGACAACCAGGAGGCUGGCUAAACCCUGCUUCCCACCACAAGACUGCUGCAGCUGAGAGAUCCUAGGACACAUGACAAAGGCCAGCAGAAGCAAUGCCUCUUAUUAAAUACCUGAUUGUACAGUAAGCUUAACUUCUACUUGGAAAUACUGCUUUGGAAGAGAAAAUUAAGAAAAAAGCAUCAUUAAAAAAAAGACAAGGUUGGGCUUCCCUGGUGGCGCAGUGGUUGAGAGUCCGCCUGCCGAUGCAGGGGACACGGGUUCGUGCCCCGGUCCGGGAAGAUCCCACAUGCCGCGGAGCGGCUGGAGCCGUGAGCCAUGGCCGCUGAGCCUGCGUGUCUGGAGCCUGUGCUCUGCAACGGGAGAGGCCACAACAGUGAGAGGCCUGCGUACCGGAAAAAAAAAAAAAAA